rnacentral:rRNA from 1 species
GACGAACGCUGGCGGCGUGCCUAAUACAUGCAAGUCGAACGCAGUGGGGACGGGUGAGUAACCCGUUGGUAACCUCCCAUCAGGGGAGAUAACACUUGGAAACAGGUGCUAAACCGAUAUUGAUGGAUGGGCCCGCGGUGGAUUGGCUAGUGGGGGAGGUAAAGGCUCACCUAGGCCACGAUGCAUAGCCGACCGGAGAGGUGGAUCGGCCACACGGGAACGGAGACAGGGCCCAGAGUCCUACGGUAGGCAGCAGUAGGGAACCGUCGGCAAUGGACGAAAGUAUGACCGAGCAACGCCGCGUGAGUGAAGAAGGCGUUCGGAUCGUAAAGCUCUGUUGUGGGAGAAGCGGUAGCGAACGAGAAAGCAACGGCUAACUACGUGCCAGCAGCCGCGGUAAUUC